GACGAACGCUGGCGGCGUGCUUAACACAUGCAAGUCUAACGAAGUGGCGCACGGGUGAGUAACGCGUAAUUAACCUGCCCUUCAGAGGGGGACAACAGUUGGAAACGACUGCUAAUACCGCAUACUGAAGGAGGGGAUUGCGUCUGAUUGGCUAGUUGGAGGGGUAACGGCCCACCAAGGCGAUGAUCAGUAGCCGGUCUGAGAGGAUGAACGGCCACAUUGGGACUGGGAAACGGACCAGACUCCCACGGGAGGCAGCAGGUGGGAAUCUUUCGAAAUGGACGAAAGUCUGACGGAGCAACGCCGCGUUAGUGAUGACGGCCUUCGGGUUGUAAAGCUCUGUUAAUCGGGACGCGGUACCGGAAUAGAAAGCAACGGCUAACUACGUGCCAGCAGCCGCGGUAAUAC
rnacentral:rRNA from 1 species